rnacentral:piRNA from 1 species
UGUGAGCUUUAUGCUCGUUCAUGUGCACA